rfam:Gorilla gorilla gorilla genomic chromosome, chr6, whole genome shotgun sequence
GCCAGAUAUGGUGGUGCAUGCCUGUAGUCCUAGCUACUUGGGAGGCUGAGGCAGGAGAAUUGCUUGAGCCCGGGAGUUUGAGGCUGCAGUAAGAGCUAUGAUUGUGCCACUGCACUGCAACCUGGGCAACAGAGCAAGACCCUGUCUCUU